AUACGGAGGACGCGAGCGUUAUCCGGAUUCAUUGGGUUUAAAGGGUGCGCAGGCGGCCGUGCAAGUCAGCGGUGAAAGCCCGGGGCUCAACCCCGGAAGUGCCGUUGAUACUGCGUGGCUGGAAUGCGGUCGAGGCGGGCGGGACGUGGCGUGUAGCGGGGAAAUGCGUAGAUAUGCCACAGAACGCCGAUAGCGGAGGCAGCUCGCCAGGCCUGCAUUGACGCUCGGGCACGAAAGCGUGGGGAUCGAACAGGAUUAGAUACCCUGGUAGUCCACGCUGUAAACGAUGGGCGCUCGUCGUCGGCGGCAGACAGUCGGCGGCCAAGCGAAAGCGAUAAGCGCCCCACCUGGGGAGUACGGUCGCAAGGCUGAAACUCAAAUGAAUUGACGGGG
rnacentral:rRNA from 1 species